UACAUGGGGUGCAAACGUUGCUCGGAAUCACUGGGCGUAAAGCGCACGUAGGCGGAUCUUUAAGUCAGGGGUGAAAUCCUGGAGCUCAACUCCAGAACUGCCUUUGAUACUGGGGAUCUCGAGUCCGGGAGAGGUGAGUGGAACUCCGAGUGUAGAGGUGAAAUUCGUAGAUAUUCGGAAGAACACCAGUGGCGAAGGCGGCUCACUGGCCCGGUACUGACGCUGAGGUGUGAAAGCGUGGGGAGCAAACAGG
rnacentral:rRNA from 1 species